rnacentral:rRNA from 1 species
AUUUAAGUGCAUGCCAUAUUAAUGCAAAAUCACAAAUGGCUCUCUAAAUUAGAUAUGUUUCUUUGACAAGAACAAACACUUUUAUUACACCAAAACCAAACAGGCCUCUGUCCAUACUAGAAACAUAUCUUUCAAGGGUCUGCUUUACCAACUGUUGACAGCAGGUUACACUUCUACAAUGGUUGCAACAGGUGAUAGGGAAUCAGUUUGAUUCUGAAG